UGGGGUUUAACGCAGAGUUUGCGUACCCGAGCCAAAGCACCACCGACUGCGCCGUCCGUGGAGGGUUCUCUUCUUUCCGAAUCCCCAUCACGGUGAAAAAGGUUUGGUGGUGAUGGAAAUGUUUCCGUAGCUCAACAGGUCAAUAUCAUGGAUUUGAUUCCCAGGGAAAGCACACGCUGAUGCAUUGUAUUUUCUCUGAAGCAAGUGUCUGAUUAAAGUCUGGAGACUGUCAGUAAUCUCUGCGCUGAGGUGUUGCUGUGAUCACAUUCAGAUGAGUCUCACACAUUCUCCUCACGCUUUAUUUCCAGCCUGUCAUUGAUUGUAAG